rnacentral:rRNA from 1 species
GACAGAGGGUGCGAACGUUGUUCGGAAUUACUGGGCGUAAAGCGCGUGUAGGCGGUCGUGCAAGUCGGGUGUGAAAGCCCUGGGCUCAACCCAGGAAGUGCAUUCGAUACUGCGCGACUGGAGUCCCGGAGAGGAUGGUGGAACUCUCGGUGUAGAGGUGAAAUUCGUAGAUAUCGAGAAGAACACCGGUGGCGAAGGCGGCCAUCUGGACGGUGACUGACGCUGAGACGCGAAAGCGUGGGGAGCAAGCAGG